rnacentral:rRNA from 1 species
UUGCCAGACUCCUACGGGAGGCAGCAGUGAGGAAUAUUGGUCAAUGGGCGCGAGCCUGAACCAGCCAAGUCGCGUGAGGGAUGACGGCCCUACGGGUUGUAAACCUCUUUUGCCGGGGAGCAACGGGUGCCACGUGUGGCGCCACUGAGAAUACCCGGAGAAAAAGCAUCGGCUAACUCCGUGCCAGCAGCCGCGGUAAUACGUAGGGGGCAAGCGUUAUCCGGAUUUACUGGGUGUAAAGGGAGCGUAGACGGCAUAGCAAGUCUGAAGUGGAAGCCCGUGGCUCAACCGCGGAACUGCUUUGGAAACUGUUAAGCUGGAGUACUGGAGGGGCAAGCGGAAUUCCUAGUGUAGCGGUGAAAUGCGUAGAUAUCAGGAGGAACACCGGCGGCGAGGGCGGCCUGCUGGACCGUAACUGACGUUGAGGCUCGAAAGCGUGAGGAGCAAACAGGAUUAGAUACCCUUGUACUC